GUGCUGCAGCUGGACCCAGUAAUGUGGAAGAAUCACCCAGGUGGUACUGGUUUUGAGGAUAUGAAGGGGUCAUGAAGAGCAGCUGAGGUUUGGCACUGUGCAAAGUCAGGGAAAGCCGUUGAUGAAGGUGUAGCCUCAGUUGUAGUUGAUGGCCCAGGACCAAAGGUGUCAUGCAAAGUAGUUGAGGCUUGACACCAUGAGGAGAGCCUAUGAGAGGCUAUUGGUGAAGCCUAGUUGCAGUGGAAGACCCCAACAUAUUGGAGAUGCCAGUACCAUGGGGGUGAUCACCAAGAACAGCAGCACCAGUGGAAUCAACCAGAGCCUAGAGUGCUACAGAGGGCCAAGCUGUAGAAGUGACUCAGGCCCUUUGGAAGAGCUCGUGUGUGUAACAGGAAGCCUGGAAGUUGAAGUUGUCUUGGAGACCCCAAGAUGUUAAAGAUACCAGAACCAUGGGAUGUCUGCUGAGGAAAGCUGCUAACAGGGAGUGGAACCAGCCCAGGACAAAAAAAA
rnacentral:lncRNA from 1 species